UGUCUCAAAAACUCAUUUUGACCAUGUCAAACGGCCCUUAAUUCAUCACAAUUUGAACCCCAAAAAAACCGACCAUAGGAUAAAAAUCCAGAUCAAACAGGCGCUAAAUUUGAAAACCGCAUCUUCAGCCUUUAAAAUAAUUCCUCUUCGAAAGAAGCCCAAAUCGUUUUGCUGUUGUUUAGCGGAUUUAAAUCGUAAUUUUGAUUGAAAAAAGCUCCCAGUAACCAUUUUUCAGCUCUCAAAUUCGUGUUUGUUGAAGUUCGAUUCGCGGACAUUCUCCUCAUCUAUUGAGCUGAAUCUUCUCGAAUCCUUUUUCUGAUUCACAGGUCCACAGUGGUAGCAGCAGCAGGAAAUUCCAUCAGUUGAGCAGCAGCAACAGGGGACUCAGCAACAAGGGACCCUAUCACACUUGAUAUUAUGAGGUUACCUUUUUGAGACCAGUACAGUCCUUGCCGUACCAGUGUGCACAUCAAUUGUCACUUCAUAGUUGUGAUGUUGAAUGGUUGGAUGUAUGCCCACAAUUUCCUGUGGCAUAAGACGAUGAUGUUUUAUACAGAUGUACAUCAUACUUGGCCACGAAGAACUCAACAGUUUGAUGACCAAUUAGGUAAUAACUAUCAGGCAUCACAUCACUUUACGUAUGCACACCAGAGAGUUUCUUUUUGCACAAGGCUCAGUAACCAAAAACCCGAAUCAAUACCAAAACAAACGACCCAAGAACACCACAAAGGUUUCACCUACGGUUGCUAGACCUUUGCCACUUAGAGACCACCACAAAGGAGGAGAAAUAUCACCAAGAUAUCAACACAAAGAGAAGCAGAAGGCAGUAGAGUACAGGGUCGAGAGAGAGCAUGCAGAGAUGAAGAAGAGAGACACCAAGUCUUGUUUCUCAAAAGUGGCGUGCAAGACCAAGUGAAUAAAUAUUGGGUCAAGUCACAAAUAAGGUAAGUUAGGUCUAGGUAAUGGGUCGUGGCCCAAUAACACAUAGUAGAAUAUAGAGUGGGCCUCAAGUAUAGCUAGUCAUCCAAGUAGGUAGAAAAUAUGACCCAUGAGAAACACAAUAAAAUUGGUUGCUUCAAAUGGUCCAAUCACUUUUUGGGUUGGGUCGUUCAAAUUUUGAUAUUGAUAUGUCGUUCAGUCAUAUUGCAAAUGCCGAUUCAUAAUUAAUAACCGGUUUAUAUCAUCGCCGGGAAGGUCGUUUGACAACAAUAUGUCUAACAAGAACUACCACUUGUAAAAUUCCAAGGUAAUCUUUUACAAUCACUGUAGGGCACAUUAAUUUUGGUCUAAAUAUCCAUCUUUUAACCUAUAUCAUUGAGAUUUCAUCUCUUUUCUGAAUCAGAGCUUCUAUAGGGCUACGCAUAAUCCUUUUUGCCAUUUGACAUUGAUUUUUUUUUAUGAAGACUUUUGAUUAGAGAAGCAACCUUUGCUGUCUUGCCUUGUGAAAGAUUUCUACCACAAUAUUAUAUAUUCCUCACUGUCCUUUUUGUGCAUUCCUAAUAUUGCAUUGGUUUUCCUCUGACAUGUUCACUGAAGCGUUUGGAUUCUAAAAUUAUGAUUCUGGUCUCACAGAUGUUAGGAUCACUGAAGCUUAUGGGUUUCUGCAGUUAUGAUUCUAGGCUCAUGAAAUUAUUUGUUAUGUUACUUCCUCUGUUGUCAACAGCCAGAGAGUGGCCUCUAUGAUGUGAUCAAAGUUGACAAACAAACAAAAUAAUGAUAAAAGAAGUAAAAAGCACAAAUAUAGUGACGUGGGUAGAAAAUGGACAUUAGGAAUCACAGAUGUCAUCUCAAAAGGAUAAAGACAGGGAGCAAACAACAGCUGGACAUCCCUCACUGCAUUAGCAAGACCAGCUGACCUGGUAUGAAAUGUCUUUUUACCAUCUUAACGUGUAUACAAAUAAUUUCAAGUAAUUUGAUUGAAAGAUACAUUUUCUUUGCCAAUUUAAUUUGUCUUAUUAUACACCACUGCUGGUCUCUGGUCAAUUGUCAUAUAAAUAAAAGAAAUGGCCAAAGGUGUUUUUGUGCUGGUCAACAAGCACGUACAUUUUUACCAAUAUUUAAAAGCUUAUCAAACCACAA